rnacentral:lncRNA from 1 species
CUACAGCAUAUACUUUACAAUCUGACAAUCACAUACAGCCUUGACUUGCAUUUAUUGUUCUUGUCUCCCCAUAUAGAGUUUAAAUUUCAAAGAGACAAAGGCAACAUCUUGUCCUUAUUAUAUAAUCUCCCCUGGGCCUAACAUUCCCGUUCCUAUCAUACAUUCUCGUUACUUUUUGAAUCAAAGAAACUCCUUAACAACAGUACUAGUUUUUAGCUUCCUCACUUCUGUAUACCUCACAGAAACAACACAGGGCAAAAUAUCAGAAGCCAGGUGCAGUGACUCACACCUGUAAUCCCAACAUUUUGGGAGGCCAAGGCAGGAGGAUCACUUGAGCCCAGGAGUUCAAGACCAGCCUGGGCAGCACUGUGAGACCCUGUCUCUAAAAAAAAUUAUAAAAAUAAAUAAGUCCAGCCGGGUGCAGUGGCUCAUGCCUGUAAUCCCAGCACUUUGGGACACCCUAACCUUAGCAGAGAUUGCUCAUCAAUGCUUCCACGAGAAGAUUUUUGAUUGAAUGGGGAAAAUGAUAACCUACAGGUCACAUUUGACAGAUCCAGCACUUUGGGAGGCUGACGCAAGAGACUGCUUGAGCCCAGGAGUCUGAAACUAGCCUGGGCAACAUAACAAGACCCUGUCUCUAUUUUAUUUUUUUUUAAGACAGAGCAAGACCCUGUCUUUAAAAACCAACCAACAAACAAAAAAAACCCUUAGACUAGGUGGCUUAUAAACAACAGAAAUUUAUUUCUUACACAGAGUUUGUGAAGUGCAAGAUCAAGGCCCUGUCAGGAUAAUGUCUGGUAAGGGCUCUCUUUAUCAUGGAUGACAUCAGCAAGUCCAUCUAGUCACUUGGUGACUUUGAUAGGCAGAAUAAUGUGCCCUUCCCCACUCAUCCCCGAAGAUGCCCAUGUCCUAACACCUGGAAUCUGUAAAUAUGUUAGAUUACAGGGCAAAAGCAAAUUAAGGUUGCAGAUAGAAUCAAAGUUACUAACCAACUGAUUUUAAAACAGAGAAAUUAUCCUGGAUUAUGCAGAUAGAGCCAAUAUAAUCACAAGGAUUCUAAAAGGUAGAAGAAGGAGCCUGAAGAGGAGAGUCAGAGGGAGACAUGACUAUGGAAGAAUGGUCAGAGGGAUGGCUUUGAGGAUGAAAGAAAUGGCCUAUGAGCCAAGGGAUGUGGCCAGCCUCUAAAAGCUGGAAAAGGCCAGGAAAUUGAUUCUCCCUUGUUGCCACCUUGAUUUUAGCCUUACAUCAGACUUCUGACCCUAAGAUAAUAAAUUUGUGUUGUUUUAAGCUACUAAGUUUAUAAUAACUUGUUACAUCAACAAUGGAAAACUCAUACAGUCAUCAGGAGAGUUCUGGGUCUCACACAGCCAGGAACAGAGUAAAUCUGGUUAAGGAAAUAUUUCAGAGUCUUGCUCUGUCGCCCAGGCUGGAGUGCAGUGGUGCCAUCUCAGCUCACUGCAAUCUCCGUCUCCCAGGUUCAAGUGAUUCUCCUGCCUCAGCCUCCAGAGUAGCUGGAAUUACAGGUGGCCACCAUCCCACCCAGCUAAUUUUUGUAUUUUUAGUAGAGACGGAGUUUCACCAUGUUGGCCAGACUGGUCUUGAACUCCUGACCUCAAGUAAUCCUCCCACUUCGGCCUCCCAAAGCGCUGGGAUUACAGGCAUGAGCCACCAGCGCCCAGCCAAUAAUUUUAUUUAACUCAUUAAUUAAUGAGGGAACCAGUAAGAUUUUACAAGUUCAAAGGAGAAUAUAAAGUACCACACUUACAUGAUAAAUGUUAGAGGUAAUGAAUAUCCCAAUUAUCCUGAUUUGAUCAUUAUACAUUGUAUACAUGUAUCAAAAUAUCACAUAUACCACAAAAUACAUACAACUACUAGAUAUCAAUUUUAAAAAUUAAAAAAUAAUAAAGUACCAUACUUAUAUAGGUCAGGAAUGCUGAAAUGAAUUUACAAAUAGAUGUAAAACUGGCCUUUUUUAAAAAGGGGUUGGGUGGGGAAAGAGAAUUUGAAGUCUAGGGGCAAUUACAUUUGCAUUUCUAUCCAUUAUCUACAAUUUACUGGACUGAAAAUAACUCGAAAGACAAUGAAAGGCCAGAGCCCCCUUAGAAUCCCAUAACUGGGCUGGGCGCGGUGGCUCACUCCUGUAAUCCCAGCACUUUGGGAUCCCAGCUGAAGCAUGAGAAUCGCUUAAACCUGGGAGGUGGAGGCUGCAGUGAGCCAAGAUCGUGCCACUGCACUCCAGCCUGGGGGACAGAGUGAGACUCCGUCUCAAAAAAAAAAAAAAAAAAAAAUCCCAUAAUUGGGAAGGGGCUGCUAGAUACCACCUUGUUGUUGUCUAUUGAAGACACCAGAUUUCAUCUUUUGUUGCAUUUUAAAGUCUUUCACAGUUUUUCCCUACACUCUGGGCAAACUUAUCUUCUAUAAAUCUUUAUAUUUACAGAAACCUAUAUUUUCAUUAAAAAAGAAAGAAAAGAGGCCAGGCGCAGUGGCUCACGCCUGUAAUCCCAGCACUUUGAGAGGCUGAGGCGGGCGGAUCACCUGA